AACGAACGCUGGCGGCGUGCUUAACACAUGCAAGUCGAGCGGGAUCCAACCGGUGGCAACACCGGGGAAGAUCUAGCGGCGAACGGGUGAGUAACACGUGAGCAACCUGCCCCGAAGACUGGGAUAACACCGGGAAACCGGUGCUAAUACCGGAUGUCGUCAUUAGGCCGCAUGACCUGAUGAUGAAAGGAUUCAUCGCUUCGGGAGGGGCUCGCGGGCUAUCAGCNGUUGGUGGGGUAACGGCCUACCAAGGCGACGACGGCUAGCUGGUCUGAGAGGACGACCAGCCACACUGGGACUGAGACACGGCCCAGACUCCUACGGAGGCAGCAGUGGGGAAUCUUGCGCAAUGGGCGAAAGCCUGACGCAGCAACGCCGCGUGGGGGAUGAAUGCCUUCGGGUUCG
rnacentral:rRNA from 1 species